UCCUCGGUAGGAUAGUGGUGAGUACCCCCCCCCCCUCCUGUCACGCGGGAGACCGGGGUUCGAUUCCCCGCCGAGGAG
rnacentral:tRNA from 1 species